rnacentral:lncRNA from 10 species
GGGAAAAGAAAAAAAGGCUAAUAUAGCCAUAAAGAAUGCUUUUAAAUCAAGUAAUACACUUGACUUAGAAAGACAAGCCAGCGGCAAUUAUAAAAUAAUGACACCUAAGAAUGUUUUCAAGAAGUCUGGUUCAUAAUGCAUUCAAACUUAAAAAAAUAUUAAAGACAACUAAAAAAAUUUUGCUCAUUUUUGGAGCAAAAAAACUACCAAAGAAGGAGCAGCUUGAGGGAAUAUUAAUGGAUUAUGAGAAGAAAAUGAAACUGAACUAUUUUGCGUUAUCCUACAAGAUGAAUGAUUAUAGAGUACAAUAGACUGACUAACCAGGAGUUGAAAGCCAGAUCAUAAGAUAUUUGAAGAGACACAGUAACCUCUCAAAAUGAGGCCAAUUUUCUUAGAUCAGGCUUUUCACUUGAGUGCUGUACAUGUGUGUCCUUCAGGUACUGAUGAAGCCUCUACAGAGCUCUCUUCUCAGCCUUGCUCUGCCAUUUCUGCUGCUACUGCAGCAGUGACACUGGAAUCCCUGAAGCAUCAAAUCUUGAAUUGGAGGAAAGUACUUCUUUCCAUAUUUUGUAAUAUGUCCUACUAAAGGAUAGCAAAGCAGAGUUGUUUGCUCCCAUCUUAGAAACUUUUAAAUAAAAUUUAGGUAUUACUUUUAAACAUAGGUCCACAGAGAAGACAAAUCUAAGUGGCAAAAAUAAUGUGUAUUCAGCGUCACUAUUCCCCAAGGAUGACAAAUGUAUGUUUUUUGCUGUAAUAUCUCCCAGUUGACUCCAUCUUCUCUUCUAUUGAAUUUUCAACCAGAGAGCUUCUUAGUUCCUUAUUCAAAUACAGUUUUGGUAGACCUAACCAGUAUUAUAUGUGCCUGAUCUAUCUAAAUCUAAUCAAGUUUGGUUUAAAUGAAAUCAAGUGUACUCACAGCCUCUCAUACCUAUUCCAUUUUUACUUUUGUACAACCACAAAAUUAGCCCAGAGUGGGGGAGUUCACUUGAUAAUUUGCUAAGUGCAAUUGCCACCACCAGUACUCUAUGAUCCAGCCCCUCCCUACCCAACAUGACAUCAUCGAUUAAAAUUCCUAAAUCAAUGCUAUUUUUUACUUAAGAAUGUAUAGUAUUUUUCUUUGACUCUUCAGAUAAAGACCCUCAAUCAAUCUACCACUCAAAUAUCUUCCUAAUAUUUACUGUAAUACGGUUUCCAUUGUUCUUUAAUUUUAGCUCUUACCUUUCUUCAUCUCAGCCCUAUAUCACGAAUAUUCUUCCUUUUCAAAUGGUCACAUUAUUUCUAAGUAUCCACCACAAUCUCUACCUUCUCUCAGAACAGUUGUGAAAUUUUAAGUUGUAUUUUUGAAAAUUUGGUAAAUCAUUUGAUGCUUAAAUAAUUGAAUAAGGUCAGGCUGUGUUUAAUAAAUGUCAGCUGUGCUUUAUGGUACGUAGGUAAAACACAAUAUGGCUUAAAGGUAAAAAUCAAACAAUUCACCCUAAGGUUAGCGUUACAAUUUUUAUUAUCCCCUUAGGUUAGCAAACCACUGAUAACAAACCCAGGUGUUACUUUGUCCUUUCUUGUUAGACUUAAACUCAGUAAUUCCAGAUUAAGUCUCAUCCUGAUAUCGUCAAAAACCCAAUUUGGCAAUUCAAUUAUACUGCCUGCCUUUUUAGAAAAAUUUCCCUUUGUCGAUGGCAUCACACUUCCAAUCUCUUUUUCAAUGGUUGCCUUCAUCCUCCUACAUGUGACUGCAACUCCUUCAAGCUACAUCAAAAAUACAGUUCUUUAAUUUUCAGAAUUUCUCCCAAAAGUUUUCCUUUAUUUCAUCCUUAUUGCCUUGCUGAGUCAAAUUACUGCUAUAUGUUCAUUAAUAAAUCAUGAAAUAAGUUUAUCUAAAGAUAAUGUGAACACUUUUUCAUCAACAGGAAGAACAGGGACUAUAAUUCAAUAUCUAAUAACUUCCUUGGAGAAAGAAGCAUUUCUUCUCAAAGCUUUCCAGAUGAAAAAUGAGACAUAAUUUAAAAAUUACAGAAUUACUUUGGCAACAGAGAAAAAGAGCUUUAAGGGUUCUGAGCUGUCUACUCUGACGCAAGAUUUUUAGAGCUCUCUCUUGAGAAAGAAACAGCACUUAUAUGGGGAGGGAGGGAACAGAGUGUUGCUGUAAUUGUUGAUAAAAGUAAAUAAUUCCAACGAAAGAACCAGGAUUUAAGACAUGGUGAGAAGACCAAAAGAUGCGAUAUUUGGAGACCUAAAGUUAAGUUUGCCAAUUCACUUGGUGUUAUUCAGCAGUUUACAUGCAUUUAACUGUCCUAAUGAGGUUGAAGAGGUAGACAUCAUACAAACCAAAUAUCCUGUUUGGGGGUCUCCAUACCUGAUCUGGCAAGAUAGAGUUACUGAGCUGAAAGAAGUCAUCUUAUCACCAUUUAAAUUAAUUAUAAGACAUGGAGGGUUAUAAGGAAGGGACUUAAACUAAUGAUUCGGCUGGGCACAGUGGCUCAUGCCUGUAAUCCCAGCACUUUGGGAGGCCGAGGCAGGCGGAUCACGAGGUCAGGAGUGGGAGGCCGAGGCAGGCAGAUCACGAGGUCAGGAGUUCGAG